rnacentral:lncRNA from 1 species
AAAAUAUCCUUCUAGAUGAGGAUUUUCACCCAAAGGUUGCUGAUUUUGGUUUGGCCAAAUUAUGUCAUACCAAGGAGAGCAAGCUUUCUAUGGCUGGUGCUAGAGGAACAGUUGGUUUCAUCGCUCCUGAAGUGCACUCUCGAACCUUUGGAGUUGUUUCAACUAAAUCAGAUGUUUAUAGUUAUGGAAUGAUGCUAUUAGAGAUGGUUGGAGGCAGAAAAAAUGUGAAUUCAAUUGCUCAAAAGUCAAGUGAAAAGUAUUUUCCACAUUGGAUUUAUGACCAUUUUGGUCGAGGUGAUGGAUUACAAGCAUGUGAUGUCUCAAGUGAAAAUGAAGGAAUAGCCAAAAAGAUGAGUGUGAUUGGCCUGUGGUGUAUCCAAAUACUACCAAUGCAUCGCCCUACCAUAACAAAGGUUUUGGAAAUGUUUGAGCGAGCUUUAGAUGAACUGGACAUGCCACCGAGGCAAAACUUCAGCCAAAUCCUGUAAGAUAUUUAUGAUACGUUUUGCUGCAGCUACCCUGCACCAUUUACCAAUUGAUGUAGCAACAAUUCUUUUAUUGUUUUGCAGCGAAGAUCCAAAUUACAAUUUGAAUGCACAAAGCUUGAGUACAAGCAGUGGUACCAAAACACAAGUUUUUAGCGAAGUGCUAAAGAUGAAGGAGAUGAGCUUAGAGAAUUCAAAACUCUUACAGCGGUUACCAACUCUGUGACAAGGUUACCUAGCAUUGGAAUUGAGCAUUGAACUUGUGCAUGUGUAUUGGAGGGGGUAGAAAUCUUAAGUUACUCAAAUACUUGUCUCAAAACAAAAUGCUAAAUGCCUACUAUAUUAUUUUGCAGUCAAAGCCAUUAAGGCCCCAAGAGGGAAAGUUAUAUCUGCAAGUAUUCAUACGAUAUUUUUGACAUAAUCCUAACAUACUUAUAUCCUGUUAAUUAGAGCUUCUCGUUGUGCUUCACUGAUGCGCCAGCACCCCUUAUAGUCAUCCAACACCCAAACUUUACCCAAAAUCUCCUAAAUGUUAAUGACACAUCUGUACUGGAAUCAAUUAACAUUUGAAAAAUAUUCAUCAAGGCAUUACGCGUCCUAGAAAAAUCAAGACAUUCAGUUUUGAAGCUAUGACCUUAGUAGAGUCGAGCAGCAUAUAGUUGGAUCGUCCUGGAUUAAUGGCAUGCUGAAAUAUGAGGAUGGAGCUGAUGGUAGCCAUGACUGAGGUCGAAAAGGGCAUGCAUGUUGCUUGACUAUUUUUUUUUGAACGAAUGGGCACGAGGUUAUGCCUAUUUCAUUGAUAGAGAAGGAUAGUACACCCGGCUAGCUGGUUAGGAUACACAUGACUACGCAAUUACUCGCGAGAUGAAAAAACCGCUAAGUCCUUUGCGCCCGCUAUCAUCCACGCUCCGGCUUCUUCCUUGAUUUUCACGAAUAAUGCAAUGGUUGCCAUUUCCUUUUGAUUGAAUUCACACCUUUUGCUUUCCUUCCAGAUUUCCCAUAUGAUGAGCAGUGUAAUGGAGCACAUUUCCUUCCUUCCAGAUUUCCCAUAUGAUGAGCAGUGUAAUGGAGCACAUUUCCUUCCUAGGCGCUUCUGUUUUGGUAGUCAUGUUUAUCCACCAGUCCAGCGUGUUGUUGCUUUGUCGUCAUGCUGAGGGGUGUAUGCUUGGUUGUGCCGUCCAAUCCGCCACCAGGCUCCAAAUCCUUUUGGUGAAUCUGCAUUCGGCCAGUAGGUGAUGGGCUAUCUCUAUUCCGCAUCUGCAUAAAGGGCAUGAAGGAGAGUGUGGCCAUCCCCUACGCACUAGCCGAUCAGCUGACCACACUCGGUUUUGUAGUAUUAGCCAUGCAAAUAAUUUGCAUUUCGGCGGCGCCCAAUAGCGCUAGAGUGUUUUGCUAUGUGGUGUUUUGGUGGAUCCAAAAAAAUGUGCUUUGUACGCCGAGGCCGUCGAGUACUUGCCAUUCGCCAAACUUCCAGCAAAUACUGUCCUCCUGUUGUGGUUGUAAUUGGACCUCUGUAGUGAGUCACCAAAGCAUCGUAAAUUCUUGAAGGUGCAAUGGUGUAAUGCCACCGUGUAUGUUUAGGUCCCUGAUCCAGUUAUUCGCCUACAAGGCUUCUGCCACGCUUCUUUUUUCUUUUUGAGAUCGCGAAAAUGUUAGGUGCAAAGUCCUUUGGCCUACGGCCUUGCAUCUAGCCCGACUGCCAGAAGCUCGCCUUGUGGCCAUUCCCUACUGUGAUGUUCGUACAAGCCGUGAAUAGAAGUCUAUCAGUGUCAUCACAUGGUGUCUCCAUUCCGAUCCAUGUUUUUUGCUACUCCCAUUCAUGCCACAGCCAUAGUAAUCUGAGUGGUCUUGCAAACUUGCGUAGAUUAAGAACCCCCAGUCCUCCAUUUUCCUUUGGUAGACAGCUUCUAAUCCAAUUUAUACCUUGCAUUUGCCCCCAGUCAGUGCUUUGUCUCCUGCCCUCAAGAACUUUUUCCUUAUUUUGUCUAGAACGUCAAAGACUUUGUUUGACAUCUUGAGUACUGUCAAUAGGUAGAGCAGUUGUGCUGUUAGCACCGUUUUGGUGAGGCAGGUAUGCCCUACUUGGUUGAGAUUGCGGCCGAGAGCUUGCCUGCUGCUUUGUCGAUCAAAGGUUAGAAGUCAAUUUUCUUUAGUCGCCUUAUUGCGAGCGGGAGUCUGAGGUGUCUUAUCAGGAGUCCUGUUGUAGUUAUUGGGAGCCUCGAUAGGAUUUCCUCCAGGUUGACACACUCACAGCUUAUUGGAGCCACACUUGUUUUUUGAAGGUUUGUUCUCAGUUCGGUUGCCUCGCCAAAAAGGCUCAAUAGUUGUGUGGCAUUCGCAAUGUCUGCAGCUGUUGGCUUUAUGAAGCUAACUGCGUUGUCAGCAUAUAUUGAGAUACAUGCGUGUGCUACUCGCCCCUCCAGCUUGCUUAGUAGGCCUAAGUCCGUUGCUUUGUGUAUUAGCUGGUAUAGUGGGUCUAUCGCCAGGAUGAAGAGGAAAGGGGACAAUGGGUCUCCUUGUCGUAGGCCGUGUCUAUGCACAAUCGAGUCUAACAGGAUGUCGUUCAAUAGAAUUUUUGAAGUGGAUGUGGUGAGCAUUGUCGUGAUCUAGUCCCGCCAUCUUGGGGGGAAGCCUCUGUGCUAGAGUAGUGAGAGUAGGUAGUCCCAAUGCACCGAGUCGAAGGCCUUUGAGAUGUCCAGCUUCAUUAGUAAAGUAGGUGCUUUGUUCCUGUGGAAUCGAUGGCUCAUAUUCCGAACAUACAAGAAGUUGUCAUGGACACUUCUUCCUUUGAUAAAGGCACUCUAACAUGGCGAUAUUAGUGCUUCCAUAAAUGGCGCUCGACGUAGCGCAAGUAUUUUACUGAUGAUUUUGGCGAUGGCGUGUGUUAGGCUGAUUGGUCUGAAGUCUUGGAUGCUUUCGGCCCCCUCCUUCUUGGGGAGUAGUACUACUGUAAUGGCCUCGGAUAAAAAUCCUUUGCGUCAAUCUUAAUCCGAGUCCCUUAUCACCUGUCUCAGUUUUCCCAGCCUAAGUGUUCAACCUCCAGAUCUCCCGACCCCUUCGAUCCGACCCCUCGCCGUGUUUCCCGAGUUCCGACCCCGCCGACCCCCAACCCACCGUCGGAUCUUUCUAAGCCAUCCCACAGCGUCGCCCUUCAAUUCGAGCCGUGGACCUCCGAGACUGACCGGUGGACCCACGAGAUCUUUCUUCCAGAUCUCCCGCGACAGGCGCACUCGAGUUGCAUGCCCGCUUCAGAAUUCCCCAGCCGCGUGGCUCAACUCCUCCGACGCCCGCCGUUCCACCUCGUCGCCGGCCACGACCGGAUGGAUUCUCGCGCCCCCUUCCCCAAUCGCGGUAGAAGCUCCUCUGCUACCCUUUCUGCAGCACCUCGCCGCCCGCGCCCAUCAUCACAUCGCCAGAUCCCGGCUGCAGAGCCCGAUGCCGCCCGUCUUUUCCGUCACCUCUCCACAGUCGCGCCGCCCCGGUCCUCGCUACGCGACGAUUCCUCCUCCGCCAACCCAGACCGCGGCAGCGACAGCUCCUUUUCCCGCCUUGUCAGAAGCUCCUCCCCGACAAUCUGUUGCUCCGCGCUCGCCCGCGCGACCGCAGCCGCCUGUCUUCUCACCUGUGCGCCCUCGUUUCUAGCGUCGUUUUCCCAGUCACUUCCAUCAGAUCCACCGCAUGACGACGCCCACCUCUGCCAAAUCUCAACCACCGGCAAACCCGCGCCUACGCCGCCCUGACGUCAGUGCCCAAUAACCGCCGGUGUCAUCCCCGAUUCCUGCUCCACCGCCCUCGUCGCUCAAUCGUCGCCCCAGCAGGGCACUCCAUCGCUUCUUCCCCGGCCUUUGCGCCGCUUCCCCCUUCCCUCUUCCGCGCAGCUAUAAAAUGGAAUGCCGGAGCCCCGCCGGAGUUCCCCUUUGCCAUCGCUGCCCUCUCUCUUACUCCCUGUUCGUGCUCACAGCGCCACCACCUAAGUCUGAGGAACUCUCCUCUCCGCGCAAACACCACCUUCCCCGAAUCCACCAGCCACUGCUUUCAGUGCUGCCCCAGAGCUUGCUUGUGAUCCACAAGAAGCACCGCCGCCGCCGGAAUACCGCCGGACAUCCUCGCCGCUGUCCCAAGCCCCUUAGUCCUUCCGCCCAAGCCUCCUCUGUAAGAUGAAGGUAAGCUGCCGACCCUUUUGUCCGUCUCGCCCGACCCCCCCCCUAUCCGCCCGACCCCGGUUCCGUCUCGCCCGACCCUGUCUGUUCCGCCGACCCUUCUCCACCUCGCCCGAGGGCUCGGCUGUAUCUUUUUCCUUGAACCGAGGGUAUAUGUGUAAAACUUGGGGACUUUUCAGCGUUAAGUCUGAGGAUCCCUAGCACAUCUAUUCCUCUAGAUUAAGGGUCUGAUCAUAAGUUCCUUCCCAUCCGACCCUCAUAUCUUGAUCUCCAUCAACUCAAGCGAACCUCCCCACCCUCCUGUAACUUGCCGCAAAUUUCUGGGCUCAAACUUGCAAGUGUUGCUGUUGAAAUAACCGUCUAAAUGCUAACCAAUGCAUUGCAUUCGUGUAGAGCUGCGUCUCGCCGACGGCUUCUACGAGUUGCACCCGACGCCAGAAGAAGAAGGUGUAGCCGAGCUCCUGCCUCCAGAAGCCGAAGCUGCCCAAGCAGACGAGCAGUUUCCCUCCUCCUUGCUCGAAGGCAAGCCCUGGAUGCAUGAAUUUCCCUAUGUUUUUUACCAAACUUGCGCAUGCCUUCUUUAUCAUGCUUGUGCAUUUACGUAUAGGAGUUGUUUGGAACCAUAGAUGCAUAACUUAGCUUCCUUGAUCUGAACACUAGCUGUUGGACCGGGUAGAUGCUUUGCUUAAAUAGGAAACGGUAAAAGCCGAGUGAUUUCCUAUCACUCGCGAGUUGUAGGAGUUGGUUGUUUCCCCUUCUGUUACAACUAUAAGGAUGAUGGACGGGGCAGGGUUUUGGGUAACUUUUUGGUGGUCGGUUGAUCGCCCCGUAUGUCUAUGAAACUUGCUAAGGCCCGACAGUGGUGGUGUUUGUGAUCAAGUGUUUGAAAGUACUAAUCUCAUACCUAGUAUGGGAUGGGGAAGCCUAGUACCUGAUUGAACUAGAGCGUGGCUUAUACCCCUGUUGUCCCUGGAAUAAGGUUCCCAUGGUGCAUCAUGUGGGUGCAAGUGUGGUCACAGUACGGUAGAGGCCGGGACUGUGGAGCAUUGCAUGCCAAGGGAAGUUUGGACCUGACACGCGCCUGGGAAUUGAUGGGGACGGCCGACACAGGAAGCGACCCUUGUGGUGCGCGGAUAUCGUGAGAUUAGGUUCGCCAUGCAUGGUUAAGAAACUCGAAAUCGAUUCGUCUGCCUCUCACAGUUUGAGAUUGCUUGAUCGCUAUGUCAUCCCGAGUAAUAAAGGAAUCUGAUGAUGACAUGGUUUGUGAUGAUAUGUAUAUAUACCCUUGGUUGGUUCUAUGGUUGCUUAGAAUAAGUUGCUAACUUAGACUGGAUAAUGAACUUAGAACCUGAGCUAAAACUUUGAAAGUAGGGAUACACCUAGUGCUUUUGGCAAAGCAAACCCCUCAGCCAAAAAGCUUUGCAUGUCUAGAAGAAGUGGGGUAGCGUACUCCCUGUCGGUUAAGUCUUGUUGAGCUUAGUAGCCCAGCCUUGUUGUGGCUCUUCUUUUCAGGUGAAGUUGCUGCCUCUGAGCCUCCCUCUGCUGGCACUUGGCCGCCCCAACUCCCUCCGGGUUGGACGGUUGAGUGGGAUCCCUCCUUGGACGGCGAGGAGAGGGAUCACUGAUGUCCCGGUGGGCCUCACCAGGGAUGUCCGACCCCGACGAGUUAGCUUCCGCUAGUUGUUACCUUCUGUUGUUUCUCUUCUGAACUUGUAAACUCUGAUGUUGUUUUAUGGCCAAACUAAAUGGUUAAUUUGAUAACUCGGUGGACUUGUUGUAUUCUCUGGAACCGCUCACCUUCGUGUGGGUUUGCUAUUCGGUCCUAUUCAAGUGGUUAAAUCGGAUGAACUCCAACGGCACUUCAUGUUUACUCGGUUUAGGCGUGAGCGUCGCGUAUCAUGCGGCUUAAUCAUGUUUAACCAAGUAAAUUCGAAGUGGAUCCGCCACAACUACAUUAGCUAUGUUGAGGAGGUUGAGGUCUUUGCAACGAAUGUUGUGGAAGGCAUUAACGGCCAUUGUGACAUCACCUUUGAUUAUGUGCCAACACGAUUUGAAGAAAAGGCCGGUGAAGCUGUCCGGUCCUGGCACCUUGUUCUUUGGAAGCUCUAUGAUUGCAUGAAGUAUUUCUUCCUCUGAAAAGGGGCUAUCAAGCGCGCGUAGAUCCACCGCUGGAAAGUCCAUAAUCUCCCAGUUUAGGUCUCUAGUGCGAUGCUGCGGCAAGCACAUCAUGUUCUUAAAGUGGUCUUGAAUUACCCUUUGCUUGUCUUGGUGGGUUAUUGCCCAGCCACAUUCCUUCUUUAACCUCUGGAUGAAGUUUUUCCUUCUUCUAGCGUUCGCCUUUAGAUGGAAGAACUUUGUAUUUGCGUCUCCCUCGCAUAUGUAGGUGAUUCUGGAGCAUUAUUUUUUUCUUGUUUUUUCAAUAGCCGCCCUCCCAAAAGCCUCCUUUUUAGCUUAUGACGCAAGGAGUAUUCUGCGUUAGAUAGCGCUCUGGUCUCUUCAGCCGUGUCAAGGUGUACAAUGACCUCUUGGGCCAUGUGUAGCUUUAGUUUGGCAUCUGAAAUGAAUGACCUACUCCAUGCUUGAAGCGCGCGGGCAGUGGCAUGCAGCUUGUGCCCCAAUAUGUAAAAAGGCUCUGUGUGACUCAUCAGCUUGGACCAUUCUCGGGUGACUACUUCAUGGAAGCCAGGUAGGCACGUCCAGAAAUUUUCAAAUUUAAAAGGUGUCGGGCAUCUGGGCCCAGAUUGUUGCGCCAAUAGUAGCGGGCAGUGUUAGAGUGUGAGGAGGAAAGUGCAUGUAGGACAUGGUCAUUGAAGUAUAGAUCCCAGCUCUCAUUGCAGAAAACUUGGUCGAGCCAUAUUAAUGUUGGUCAACGCCUAGUGUUACUCCAGAUGUUGUGCAAAUGUAUUUCUUUUAGAUCGCAGUAAUUUAGUGCAGCUCUGAAAUGCCUCCUCAAUCGCCGAUUAAGAUUUCUAUUAUUCUUAUCUCUCGCCCUGUAAAUGAGGUCGAAAUGCCUAGGAUGAGCCAUCGCGUGUCGUCGGCCGGUCUCAUAGCACGUAGGUGUCGUAGGAAUGCAGGUUUUGCAACACGUCGUGACGGGCCAUACACUGUCGUUAGCUGGAAGGAUGAUGUGCUAUGCUUCACUACUGUUGUUGCCGAAAUGGAGAAUUGGCCAAUUUGAACAUCCUCUAUGUUGAUCACCCCGUUGUCCCAGAGGAUGAGGAUUCCUCCCUUUGUGCCUAGAGCUGGUUUGUAGGCAAAUUUGUUCAGGCCAUGCCCCCCAAGAAGGCAACUAGAUCCCCGUCGAUGUUUUGUAGUUUCAUUUCUUGCAAUGUGACAUGUUGUCAUUGCAAUUGUUUCACAAACCAUUAGACAUCUAGCCGGAGCAUUGAGACCUCGCACAUUCCACCACAUUACCUCAAAGUUGCCAAUCAUCUGGGAGUUGCUUUGUUCGCUGGCUUAAGUGUCACGAAUAGGCAAACAAAACAGUGCAGCGUGAGUUCAACUUGGAGAUCGCCUGAAGGUCAUGGCCAGCAGGGUGGAGUUUGUAGGUCAUGAAUUUUGCCUGAAGGUCGAUGCCAGCAGGGCUAGUCAAAUGUCCUCUCCGAAGGUCGCACCCAGCAGGGUGAGGAACUGAUGAUACAAUGCAAUAACGAUACAUUGCGUGCUAUUGACAUGCGUAGGUAGUGCGCCUUGUUUGGAUCAUCAUGGCACCACGUUCUACUUCUGCUGUAGGUCUUGUACCGGGUCGCCCACCAUCUGGAGAAGCGCUUCGUUCAUCUGGUCUGCUGCGUCAUCGUCGAGGUCGAAGAGAGCGGUCAUGGCUGCUAUGACGAACUCUGGAAGGCUCCCCUGGAACAUGCUGAUGAAGUCUUGGAGAACCUGCUCAAUUGGCGCCAAUUCGUCAUCACUGACGCUAAGCUUCCUCCUUAGGUUCCACUAUGCUCGCUCCAUAGUCGGCAUCGUCGGCUUCCUAGCUAGUCGCGCGCUUCGCCGCACCUCGUUCAUGUCAAAGGUGCAGUGCUAGCACGUGCGUCGCACUAGCUGUUGUUGUAGCGCCGGUGGUGCAGGGUUGCGAAAAGGUUCUGGACGUGCGGUGUCUGCGAGCAGCCGUUGACGGCCGGUGCUGGCUCACUAGCCGGAGGCACCAGGUGAUUGUCAUCUUCUACGCUUGCAGUUUCCCCACAUGGGACAGGCCAAGCAGCAUUUGCAGGCUUGUUGGGAGGCCCACUUGCCACGUUCACUGUAGGCAGGUUGGGAGGCCCGUUUAUGACAGCCUGCGUUUGGCCUGUUGCGACCUUUUGUGCCGAAGCUUUGUGGGCCUAUUGGCCCAACAUAUGGGCCUUCUUCGAGUAGGCCGCUUCCGUCAGGGCCUCCUAGCCCAGCCUUUCCGCUGUGUUCGAAGCUGUGUGGGCCUGUUGGCCUAACAUCUAUGCCUUCUUUGAGCCAGCCGCUUCCGCCAGGGCCUCCUGCCCCAGCCUUUCCGCCGUGGCCAUAGCAGAAGCAACCACCGGAGCCUCCUCUCUCGGUGUUGCAGCCGCAGCCACUGUGACGGCGGCCACCGCGACAUCGUCUCCCGGCCUCGCAGGCAUGGCCAUCGCAGCAAUGGUUGCCGAGCACUCCGCUCCUGGCGUCAUGGCCACGGCCAUAGUCGCCGCUGCCGAAGUUGUGAUCUCUAGGCAACGAAGAGCACGUUCGACAUCAGCGGUUGUUGGUGCCAUUACCAUAUUAAUUCUAUCAAAAACUCGGUUAGUAGAGAUUAGUGACUCACUAUGGACAGACCAGGUUCCAUUCCCGGUGAUGAGGUUCCAGCGUGCCGUGGCAGGGGCGUCGUCGAUGCCAAGCCGGUAAGCGAGGCGGCAUGCCUUGUCGAUGUAGCCCGCAGCAUCAUGAAGCCACACCUUCGCUAUGUCACCGAGACGUGCCUGCAUCCCUUUCUUGAGCGCCGAGGCCUGCGCACAAAAUAGAGCUUGCACUGUCGUAGGCUCCAUGGCUCUGAGCUCCUCCACAUUCGGCAAGGCAGGUGAGUUUGCAGAUGCGCAGCUCCCUCACUCCUGCGACGUCCACCAUGGAAUGCUCCGUCCCGGCGGCGUGGUGACCAUGUCGGCUCCCGCGCGCACGACAUCGUGCCGUUCGGGGUUGCGGUGAGUGCCACUAACCCCCCGGCCGGGGUGCGUGUAGUCGUCGCCGCUGCCGUCGUCGUCGUUGUCAUUGCGCUGAGGCUAAGUGAAUCCCCCUUCCUUGCAGGUGCGCCCAUCAGCGCGGCGCCUGCCGUCCCCACGCUUGUAGUCGCGCCUUCUGUCGCGCCUCUGCUUGCCAGCCGCUCACCUUUUGUCAUGCGGGUGCUCCUGGUCGCGGCCAUCGUGCUCGCGGGGUGGCUGAGAAAGGCGCACCGAGAACCUUGACCUUGUCUCCACUAGAGCUCCAUCCAUGAUGCCGUAGCGCCAAACGUAGGGACGUCAGAUCGGAGCGAAGGCGGCAGGGUUUGCCACCACGCCUAGCAGGUCAUGGGCUGCUGCCAAGUAGUCCUCAACGAGGCCAAUGUGAAGGAAAACCUCGUAGCGAAUUCCUUGCUGCUAGCGUUCCAGCAGCUCCUGUGACGCAGCUCCUGUGUGAUGAAGACCGUUGCCGUGGAUUUGUCGGAUGGCUUGUGGGUGAAGACUAGCCACAAGCGCUUGGGGAUCUGGCUCGGAUUGGCAAUCCACGCGUACAGGUCAAUAUGCCUCGUGUCCGUCGGUUGGACGAGGUCGGUGUUGAUGCACUGUAGGGCGCAUUUGCUACCAAUGACGCGUUCGACGAUGUCCGGCGUCCAAGCAUGGCUAGGGAUACCAUCAAAGUAGACCCUGUCGCAGUAGAAGAUCCACAUGCCCAGCGCGUGCGUGAGGCUGCGCCAGCGCUGCAGGCAAAUGUUGAUGUCAUUGCCCUAGAAUCUACCUUGUCGCCUUGCCUCAUCGCACUUGUCGUUGUGCUCGAACCGGAUUAGGAAUGGCUCCGGUUGGUUGCUGGUGAUGGUGAUGGUGCCACGGCGCAGCUGCAGCUUGUUGAGCAGGAGGGUUUCAAUGUCCUGAGCCCCAGCGCACCGUGGCAGGUGGAUUGCCCACGAGACCAGUGUGCAUCCCUCCAAGCCACGGGCAUCCUGUUCGAGGUUGAAGGAGUUGGGGAUGAAGACCGUCCCACAUCAGGACGUGUGUAGGGUCUCCAAUCGCCAUCGGCUUGACGCCCGGGUGCAGCGACAGUGGCGGCGGUGGAUGAGGCGUAGGAUAUGACGGUUGAGGCAGCGGGGGCAGAGGAGUUGGUGGCGGUGGAUGAGUUGUGGCCCGGCGCACUGGGGAGUUGAUUUGCUGGUGUCAGUGGUCCGGAGUCGGGGUUGGGCGUUGCUGACGGCGGGCAUGACAGUGGCAUUCCCGGUACCCCGACCGGCGACAGCAGAAGCACCAAACUGGGUCUCUGCAAGCAGACGCGCGAUGGUCCCAGGCGAGGCAGUUGAAGCACCUCCCCGCGGUGGCCAGAUUGAAGGCUUGGAGAGUUGCGGUUGGCCGGCACCUUGAAGAUGGCCUUGAAGAGGGGUCUUGUCGGCCGUCGCGCUGGCGUGGGCUGGCACGCUCAAGACGCAUUGAAUGUCGUCUGUGGCCUCGUACCACUAUCCAGCCCGACUCCAUGCCAUGUCUUGUACUGCCUCCUGCUCGAGCAGUCUCCUCGGCUCCGGUGGAUUUGGGCCUUGUUUACUUCCCAAGUUGGGAGUUGCAAAAUUGGCAUUUUGCUAUAAAUGCGACACUGUAGCGUUUCGUUUGUAUUUGUGAAUUAUUGUCCAAAUAUUGACUAAUUAGGCUCAAAAGAUUCGUCUCGCAAAGUACAACAAAACUGUGCAAUUAGUUUUUGAUUUCGUCUACAUUUAGUACUCCAUGCAUGUACCGCAAAUUUGAUGUGAUGGGGAAUCUUCUUUUUGUAUAGUGUUAAAGUUGGGAGUUUGGAGGGAAGUAAACAAGGGCUUAGAUGUGGGGACGGCGUGGUGGAGUAAAGGCUGUAGCAGGGAGAUCCUGGUGCGCAGGUGAGCGGCGAGCUAGCGGAUCUUGGGCAGGCGGUGGAGUAAAUGCUGUUGACGGGGGGCCUGACCUGCCGCGGCGGACGGCUUCCGCGUAGGUGGAAAGGGGUUUUGGCGUGGCCAGCACCGGAUCCAGUUGGGGGGAGCACGGAUCCGGCGUGGGUGGCACCCAAUCGACCUCGUCGGUCAGCGGGCAACCAUGGCGUGGCGGCAGAGGUGGGGAAUCGAGGAAGAAGCUCUCCCACGGGCUUUGCUGCGCCAGGGUGGAGGACGCGUGGAUCUGCUUUGGUGCAGUUUGGUGUUGUGGCUGGCGGCUCAGGAUCUUUGGUGGGGUGGGCGGGUUGGGCUCCGCCGUCCGCCGGCGGCGAGGGGACGACGACGGGAGGGGUAGCGGGUUGGGGGCGCACAUUUGUCUCUGCAGGAUACCGGUCGGGGGCGCACAUCCUGUCAAACGCCUUGCAUUGCUGCUUGCUUGACUAUUUGAGUUAGGUUCCAAAUACCGGUGCAUCAAUUUUAAUUUUUUCUGAGUAAUUAUUCAGGUUCCUACCAGAAGUUAACCUUUAAGGUUGACAGUUGAUACCCACAUCUAACUGAACCAAAAAAAAUCUACUUAAUCCAAAUGCACAUGAUCUCAUUGCAAAAUCGGAGUACGUUUCUCAAACAGUAUAAGCACCAAAUCAAAUUGAUGUACGCAUCUGAGUAUCUGACUCAACUUAAAAAUCACAUCUGUGAGUAAAUACACGGAAGAACGGAGCAGUCGAAGUGCAUGAUACUUACAUGGUUCCUUAAUACCUGAUGCUUCUCCGAUUCUCCCAAAGCAACAAGGCUAGAGCAGGCGGGCGUACCCAAGGAACUACCCAAUAGUGGCGCGAGAUUGGAUCCUGCAGUCCUCUCCAUCUGCAGCCCCAAUCACCGGCACCGAGUCGGCGAUGCGGCAAGGCGUAGACUGGGGAGAUUUCCUCAUGGGAUAGUACCAGCUGCGAGUGCGCCGUAGGAGAUGGCCGAGAAUGCAGUGGCUGGGGAUGGUUCUGUUCACCGCCGCGCAUCUCGACGGACGACGGCGAGACGGGUAGACGACGCCGGCGCAGGGCGGAUCUCCAUGGACUAGGCCACCAUGCUCUACGCAGCCGAGCCCAUUCAGUGGUGAGGGCCCAUCAUCAAAAGUUGGACCGUGAUGCGUCCUGGGUCCAUCCAUAUGCCCGCCGUGCCGUAAACUUGUGCCGGUCUGAGCCAGACAUCUUCCAUCCCGUUGCUUUGCCUUCGAUGGCUCAAUAUACAAUCUGUCACAAUUCAGUCCAAAAAAAAAGAAAAAGAAAGAAAAGAACACAAUUUGUCAGAGAAAUUCCACACUCUUAUUGUAAAACUUGGUGCUGCAUUGUAAUUAUCCGCGCUCUGCAGAUUCCGAUAGACGUCACGUCACUACUUGAGAAGGUUGGUAAGGUGUUUUUUUUCCGCGAUCAUACCUUAGCACGUAUUUCAUUAAGAGAAGAAGAAAAGUUUGGUUACAAGAACUUGCAGCGUCAUCUGAGAUUGAUGACCUGCUAGCGCAUACAAGAAUUAAGAAGAAAUUACAUUUGCACCUUGCUGCGACCCUACUAACAGGUUACCAGGUAUGAUGUUGGGGUGGGCGGCUGCUGUAAAUGGCGCCAGGCAAUGAAAUCCUGCCAAAAUGGACAGCAUCCCCGUCGUCAUCUGAGCAUGAUUGAAAGUUCUUUCAUUUCUUUCCAACCAAAUGGACCAACCCACCAGGAUAAUGAGAGAGUCUAAUGUUUUCCUGGCUGACCUAUCCACACGUUUUCUCACUACUAGCCACCAGUCAGGAAAGGAGGACUCAGAAACAGAGGGUGCUAAGUGCUGCCAAUUCAGUUCCGAUAGAAUAAGAUGCCACAACUCCCUUGCAUAGACACACCUAACUAGCAGAUGGUUUAUGGUUUCAGACUCCUGGGUACAAAGAAUGCAAGUGUCGUCAUUUUAAAGAUUAUGUUUCUUGCGUCUAGAGGCUGUCCAGCAGCGUCCAUUGAUAGCAAGCCAUAUGAAGAAUUUGCAUUUAGGGGGUGCUCGGGUCUUACACAAAGCCUUUGCCCCAUGUAUUUCAUACUGUCCAAUGAAGAAUGCAUUGUAGGCCGAUGCCGUUGAGAAGUUCCUGUCUUGAGUCCAUUUUCACAAUACCUUGUCAAGUGUAUCCUCCUGUAAUGUGAUCUGUUGUAACUUGGUCCAAAUGCUUAUGUAUUCAAGAAGAACUCGAACAAUCAAUGCUCCAGUAAUGUCCCUGACCCAUUUUCCAUCUUGCAAUCCUUCACUUACUGUCCUUUUUUUUGCGAGCUCUAGGACCAAUCGCCUGAAGGAGACAUGGAGCAAUCUCUGCAAUCGAGCGACCGUCAAUCCAUCUAUCCUCCCAUAAAAGGAUGUUCUUGCCGUCGCCUACUUGAGUUGAGGUGGAGUAGUAGAACAAUUGGGCGACCUGCUGUUCAAUUGAAUCAGGUAAGUUAUGCUAUGAACGUGAAGUGUCAAUUUUCUUAAGCCAGAACCACCGCAUUCUUAGAGCAUAUCCCAUGAGGCGUAGGUCCGUAAUUCCUAGACCUCCCAAAAUAGAAGGUCGACAGCAUUUCGUCCAUGCAAGGAGACAAUGACCGCCAGAAAUCAUUUCUGUACCUUUCCAUAGAAAGGCCUUCCUGCGCUUGUCUAUUUGCUUGAUUGCCCAUGAAGAGAUGGCGACCGCGAUAGCCGUGUGAAUUGGAAUGGCUGACAUUUUUACCUUAACUAAGACUGUGCGUCCUGCCCUGCUCAUUAGCUUCGCCUUCCAUGUGGGCAAUCCAUCACAAACCUUAUCCACCAACUGCAUCAGGUCAUUCCUGCGAAGCUUUUUGACUGACAGCGGUAUUCCCAAGUACUUGCAUGGUAGGGGUUCGAGAUGACCGGGGAAGAAUUUGAGCAGCCUGAUUAUCUGUUCCAGGUCGCAUUGUAUGGGAGAGACAAGGCAUUUGUCUAGGUUUGUUUUAAGACCGGAUGCAGCUCCAAAGGUUGGUAAGGUGUUGGUUUCAGAAAACUGGUGCAUACGGUGCUAGUCCUCUCCUGUGAUUGCACUCAGCUCGUCCUCCGAUUCUGAUGGCUCUUGGAGUGGUCGACGUCGACGGUGUUGUUGCCCCAGACCGUCUCCACGGGCCUCCCGGCCGCCGCCGAUCUCCCAGACCAUGUUGAUUUUGUAACUGCACCAAACCGCACCGAUCAGCUUUAUUUAUACACUGAUUUAUAACUGAAGGCUUCCUCUGAGAAAUCAAGGGAGUGGUAUGGAUUUGCGAAAUGGGACUCAUCCAUCGGACUGGGACUGCACAAGUUUGCAUUUAGAAGAGGGAUCAGGGAUGGAUGCAUAUAUAUAAUCUUUUUUCCCUAGUACAAUAGUCAGCAACAUGAGUGGAUGCUCAUAGCAGGAUUUGGCAUGUCCAUCUGCUAGUUGCAUGGCUUAUAAAUCCACUGCAUCUUGGCAGCACAUUGGCGUUGCUUUAGUCCUGCCCCUAUCGAUCCUUCGUAGGUCCCUUGCAUUUGUUUUCUUGCAUUGUAUUAGUAUAAAAAAAACAAGUUCUGGUUCUGCUCGUGCAACAAAUAGUCAUAGAGAUACUUUGACGUGGAAUAGUCAGAUUAGACUGACCAACCAGCAGUGUUGGAGGAGACUAGACUUGGACCUACUCCCGGCUCCCACACGGCCACGGAAAUUGAAUUAAGUUUCUGUCAGUUCAGCUCAGAAGACUAACCUGUCAAACUUCGCCUACAACAGUUGCAUUCGUCGAACCAUCAUCAUUCGCUGACUUACCACUUUCAUAACUUUCUCAGGGAAAAAUAAAACCAGCCACCAACAUGGUCUGGUGAUUGCCGGCUUCUCCUCUGCGGCACCUUGUUAGCACACUUGCAGUCCCUCCUAUCGCGUUGCAAAGAUGCAACCGUCCCUUGCUCCUGCAGCCGCCGUGCUACUGCUCGCUCUGCUAACCAGUCACACCGCCACUGCUGCCGUAAACACGUCGACGCCGUGCGCGACAGCCUCGUGCGGGAACCACACCGUCGACCUGAACACGUCGACGCCGUUUGCGCCGGCGCUGUGCGGGAACCUCACCAUCGCCUACCCGUUCUGGCUCGCCGGCACGCAUCCGCCGGAGUGCGGCUACAUACAAGGCCUUCCAGGUUACGUGCGACAAGCAUGGCAACCUUUCCAUGACGACGAACUCUCGUAGAAAUAUGAGAGAAGUUGGAUUACAAUGCGACCGUGUCCUCGUAUUUAUUUAUAGGGGAGCGAGCACCUUACAUAAUUACAACACCCAGUUCUAUUUAUAGAGGAGCUCGAAGAGCACUGAACCGUCAAAUAUUUCACUCAUUCAUUCCUUUUAGCAAAAGAAUCAAUUAGUGCUAUUUAUGGAUUUUCUAAAUUAAUAUUCUAUAUGGUAUUUCAGGUGGCCAUAAUGGCAGGAUUACAAUACUGAUAGGUAUAUGCCACAAUUCGACAUAAUUUCAUAUCAAGUAAUGCAAAUUUCAGUACUUAUUUAUUGAACAAGUUACUUUUUAGUUCUAGUCUUUGGAAGACCAUAGAAGAGCUAUUAUAACGUUAUCAUAUAUGUUUGUGCAUAGACUCUAAAAUGAAAUUUUAGAACAAGUUAUCCUCAAGCAGUGUCUUCUAUUAUAAAUUAAACAAUUUGGAGCAAGAUCCGUUGUCUUUAAUUAUAUAGUUUUUUCCUAUUUUCCCACUAAGCACUUCUUCUUUUAUUUUAUUUCCAUAAAAAGCGACAGAAACGAAUUAUUUCUGAUCUUGAAAAUCUGAACAAUAAUAAUAUAACUCACUGCUUCAAGAGAAAAAUAACAUCCGCUUUAAUUUCAGUUUUGAUGACAGUUGCUACAGGCUUGGUCCUACCAUGUGUAUAUGUGCAAGCUUUGCCUCCCCUUGCACACAUCCCCAUUCCCCAAUCCCCUCCAUUCCGCAGCCUCCUAGCUCCUAUACUGAUCGAAAAACAAGCUUGAUGCAUCCGGCCCUGGUCCUCUUCCCGCUGGCCGCCUCCUUGCUCCUCCUCCAAGACCAUGCAAGCGCCGACUGCGAGCCGGCGACAUGCGGGAACCUCACUCUCAGAUACCCAUUCUGGUUGGGCAGCGGCAACCAGACCUCAUCACCCUGCGGCCACCCGUCCUUCGAGAUCCGGUGCAGCGACGACCGCCGCCGGAGCGUAGCCUCACUGAAGGGCUCCUCCAUCCACGUCCUCUCCAUCGAUUACGCCAACUACUCCUUCGUCGCCUCCCACACCAGGGUCGCCGCCGCCGACGGCGUGUGCCGCACCGACUUCAACAUGUCGGUCAGCAUCGCGAUCAGCCAGUUCACCAUUAGCCCCCGGAACCGCGCCCUGUGCUUCCUCUACAACUGCACCGGCGGCGCGGCCCCGAUCGGGCCCGACGAGUACGUGAACGCCACCUCCAGCUGCCGUGCCCCCAUCUACGCGUACCUCGGCGGGGCCUACUACUGGGACAAGCCGCCGGCGAUCGCGACGGACGGGUGCACGUACACGUACUUCCCAGUGCUGGGGCGGGAGCCGGAGACCAUGACGGCGGCCAACUACAGCCAGCUCCUGAAGGACGGAUUCGUCCUGGAGUGGGAGGCGGCAGGGAUCGGGAUCGGCGACUGCGCCGCCUCCGCCUGCAACGCGAGGGGCGGGAAGUGCCGGUACGACAACGCCACCGCGGCGUUCCAAUGCCUCUGCCCCGACGGCUGGCGCGCGGCGGGGUCGACAUGCUCCGGUGAGUUGUCACUCUCCCACUUCCCUCCGUACACGUACAGUAGUCAGCGUGUGUGGACGCCGGCGGGCGACCCGGCGCAUGCCGCUUUCAGCUGCAAGACUUUCUUGGUCCAUUGCAUCAUGCGGAUUGCGGCGUGGCGAAGGCGCAGCGGCGCUGGCGCAUGCAUCGGCGUCGCGGUAGUGCUGCCCAUGGGGUUGGAUCCUCGUAGGCCCCAUGGAGAUUUUGCACGCAGCUCUCGCUCUCAGUAACCUUGGCUAGUUUCCCUCGAUCCACCGGUAGAAUGGCCCGCGGCAGCUGGAGUGAUGGCUAUCUUAAGACUGUGUGGCGCGCGGACUGGCCACGCCGCAAUCCCUGGUAAACGCGUGUGCGGUCAAUGUCGUCUUCCCUGCCGGGUGCUCGCCGCGGCGCGGAGCAACAGGGGAGGGGGCCUGCCGCUGCCGGGCGUCGUUUUCGCCUGCCAUUAGCUUCUCCACGUGCUCUUUCGCGCAUGAUCGUUCCCGUUGGUGCGCUGACACAUCAACGGUAGGGUAUAUCAUCACUUGCCUCAAGCUUCAGCUUGAUCCAUAUCUUAUUGCUAUUAGUAGGUUGCCGUUAGCAUUGCUGACUUGCUGUCUUUGCUGAAGUGUCCAUUUGUGGCAAGUGGGUGCACUAAGUGCGUAAGGCUAGGGUCACAAGUGGCCACCAAAUCUGCACUUCUGAUUUUCUAGUCAAAAUAAUAAGGGGCACUUUUUAUGGACAAGUAUCUCAAGUAGGUUUACAUGAUAGUCUUUGGAUCCCAGUCCAAAUUACAGGCAAAUAUUGUCUUGCAGUGUUUGAUUUAUAAAUAUGAACAAAAAAAUCCAAAUUGCCAUAGGCUUUGUUCAUAAGCUUAGAGCUUGGAGCUUUGCCGUAAAAAAGCAGCAUGAAUAACCAUUUAGAUGGAAUGCAUAAGAAAAACACAUGACUUUGAGACGAGAGAAGAAAUCAAAAUUUUAGUGUGACAUUGAGCCUCAUGGUAGAAUCCCUUCAAAAUUCCAAUGGAAUACAACAAUUUAUAAGAAAAUUCUAGGAUACAUAGGAGCCCGUUAUUUGGUUACACAUAUUACCAUGAUGUCAACAGAAUUUGUAUAUAUCAAUUUGAUCUUGACCUAAAACUUUAAAUUGAAUGAAAGAAUUCAUAUGUUUCAAUUGUAAAGAUACAUGACUUCUGACUAGUAAAAACAGCUUUCAACUAUCAAAUACCAACUUUCAGUGGAACCUUGAUUGGAAAUUCCAAUCAAAGAAUUCAGAUUUUGACUUCCAAUAUUCAUACAUUCAAACAAGCCAAAAUAUGCUUUGAGUCUUGACCCUGACUUCAAACUAUCAAAUUCUUACUUUAAAGUGUUUGAUUCGACAAUUGGCAUGAAGGAUAUACUACUAUCAAAAAGGGGAAAGGGAAUUCAACUCAAAGAGAAAGCUUUUGAUACAAAAUGUUAUAAUCUUUUCACCUAACAUAUAGGGCAGGGGGCCCACUAUGGUUAUCUUUACAAAAAAGUUAUACUACUUUACUGUUACGUGUGCAGCUAUAUAUACUCUUUUCUCUCACCAAAACUUAAAAUGAACUGACGUAUACCUCGACCUUGACCUCAACUUUUAGGAAGAGAAUUCAAAUGUUUGAACUAGGGUGAUCGAUGACUUCCAACUAGACAAAAAUAACUUUCAACUAGCAUGCCAACUUUCAAUGGAGCCUUGAAUGGAACUUUCAAUCAUAGAACUCAGAUUUUGACCCUUCCACUUAAUUUCAUCAAUUGAAACUAGCAAAAGUAUGCUUUAAAUUAUCCGCAUCUAAAACAAUAUUUCAAGUUCUAACUUUAAAGUGUUUGACUCAACAAUUUCCAAGCACAAUACUAUCAAAAAGAGAAAAGGGGAUCCAACUCAAAGAAGGAAAAAACAUCGUACUUGAUAUAAAAAGAUAUACCAAAAAUGCUUGGUCUUUUUACGUACUUCCUCCGUUUCAAAAUGUAGGUCGUUUUGAUUUUUUGAGAUUUAUAGAUUUUGUUAUGUAUCUAGACAUAAUGUAUAAUGUAUAUCUAGAUGCAUAUCAAAAUCUAUGAAUCUAGAAAAGUCAAAACGAUCUACAAUUUGAAAUGGAGGGAGUAACUAAAGGCACAACCCCACUAGAGGUCUUUCUCCGUAGAGUAUGGCAUCCAAUCAAUUCAUCAAUCAAGCCCACCAGUACCAUACGCCAUCUUGUUUCUCACCUCGAACCGGUCCUCUUCCCCAUCUCCGAUUAUUUCUCUAUGGUGCCUUCACCUCUCCUCCAUCAUUCUCCUUUCUAGCAGCUCAUUCGCCGGAUCUACCCCAGCUACCACCCGAACCCUACGGAUAGCAAUUCCCCUAGCCACAUCAGCAAUUCGUCUACGUGGUAGUGUAUUUAUUGCUAUGGAAACUAUCCUCGUCACUGCGUUGGGACUGCCCUGAUACGUGAGAUGAGUUUCAUGAGACGCGCAGUUAUCUAGUUCUCAAUCUUAAUAAUUAUGUAAUAAAACUGUACACUGAGACUGGCCUUAAAAGAAGACUUGAGACUUGGGUCUUGGGUCAGUGGUGAGUGAGUGGUGACUUCAGCGCAUCUUUCCCAUGCACGGCAACCACAAGACUACCUGCAUGAAAGGUAAAAGUACAAUGCACCGGCAAUUUUCGAUCUCGUACUUCUGCGCAAGUAAACUGUUCAACUCUUCCACCAAAAUCUGCCUCGCCAUGCAUCACUCCUCCACAUCACCAUAGAUUCCUGCUACAGCUAUCAUUUUAUCUGUUGCCAGGCUGUUCCUCUGCUCCCCAUCGCACUCAACCAGUGUUCGAUCACCAUGAUAUGCAAAGAUGUGUUCACUUUUGAAGAUUGUCGAAAUGCCCAGUCAAACAUUUCGGCAGCUACAGUCAACACAGCCACACAGUGACACAGGACGCGCGGGCCCACCUUCGCUAUUUAGUCGGUCACUUUAGCGGUUGUGCCUCAUGUGCUCCCAUCACCGAUUCACCCCUUUGUUCGUUUCGUCGCUACUGCAAUAGUCUAAACCUUCCCACUCUUCUCCGAUGGCUCCGUCCUUGCUGCUCUUCCUCGUCUCGUCGGUGCCGCUGAUUCUUGCUGCCGGAGAAGAGCACUGCCCGACCGUGCCAGUGGCAUGCGGCAAAGUCAACAUCACCUUCCCGUUCGCGAUCGUCCCGGAUGAGGCCACGGAGACCAGCUGCGGUUUGAUUGGGUUCCAGGUUCGUUGCUCGAACAACACCCCGUACCUCGGCUACCAUAAUGGGCUCUACGGACACCAGUUCCAGAUCCUCGACAUCUUCUACAACAACGCCUCCUUGCUCCUUGCCGAUGUCCACAAGCUCCAAGACUUCAAUAACUCUGCUUCGGAAAAAUGCCACGCCCCGACGAACAACAGCUCCAACAAUCUCGGUAUUCCGUUCUCGAUCAGCCCUAUUAACCAGAACCUGAUCUUCUACAACUGCACGAAGCCCCUGUCGGAGGAGGAGAGGUGGAGCCGCGGGCUUGUGGAGACGACCUGCGGGAACAUGACGUUCGUUCGCGUCGCCGGGCGUUCCGACGGCUUGGGAAGCUACGACAGCUACUUUUUGGAGGGCUGCAACUCUACCGUCGUGCCGGUGCUUGCGAGGUAUGGCCAUGCGAACGCGAGCAACUACAAAGAGCUCAUCAGCGAUGGCUUCGUCUUGACAUGGGAGGCGCCACUGAAGUCAGGUAUAUUUCACUCUUCCAACUAAUACAUCACUUCGACCUAUAGAAGAACCUUGGAACAGCCAGACAUUUCCUAGCACUCCCCUUAGAACGAGCCUCAUCAGCGUAAGGCGUAGAGACUCCAGAGUACGGACCUGACGACCCAACCCACUGAUUUGAUAAGGGCGUAGCGAAACGCAUGUCGUCGUCCCCAACCGCGGUAGGCGUGUUCGCCGCCGCCACUCUGCCGUCCGGCGUACGUCCGUCAACACACAAGUCAAUGAGAUAUUAACACCGGAACAAAUAAAUACAGAAAGGAAAAUAAAAGAAAGAGACAAAAAAAGAGGACCAAUCAGACGGUUGGAGGGACCACGACCAGUCAAACCGCUCGUCACCGUCCUUUCUCCCCUCACCUCAUAUCCGCUCCGCCCCCCAGUCCGUUCCACUCCUUGUUCUCCUCCCUCACCGUCACCGAACUCCAAACCAUUCCACUGCCACCCCAUCCACAAUCCGAUACGCAUCCGCUCCUGCUACUCCUGCUCCUGCUCACUUCCUUCCUCAUCCGGGCGGCGGCGGCCAGCGUGGAGAAGUCGUCAGGCUGCUGGCCGAAGGCUACUGCCAUCGUCGAACCUUCACGUGCUCCCAUGGCUUCGGCCUUGUUGGUCUUCCUCGCCUCGUCGGUGUGGGUGGCCUUCUCGGCACCACUGAUGCCUGCUCCAGCAGCAGAUAGGCAAGGCAGAGAGCACUGCCCGUCCCAGCUAUGCGUCAUUGUGAACAUCUCCUUCCCGUUUGGGCUCGUUCCGGAGGAGGACGCCGUGACGCACUGCUAUGCACUGUUCCUGGUUCGUUGCCGUAACAACACCCCAUACCUCGGAUACUAUCAGACCGAGUUCUUCAUGCAGAUCCUCAGCAUCUUUUACGACAACGCCUCCUUGCUCAUCGCUGAGACCCAGGAUCACAAUGACUCUAGACACCUGGAACUAGGCUGCUACAUCCCGACAGGCAACGCCACCUCCAAGAUCGGUCGUCCGUUCUCGAUCAGCCCCCUCAAUCAGAAUCUCAUCUUCUACAAUUGCAUCAAGCCGCUGCCGCCAUCCGUGGGGCUUGCAGAGACGAUGUGCCGCAACAACACGUAUGUUCGCGUCGCUGCCGAGCGUUACGAUGGUCAUGGCAGCUACUUCUUGGAGGGCUGCAACUCUACCGUCGUGCCGGUGCUUGCGAGGUAUGACCAUGCGAACGCGAGCAACUACGAGGAGCUCAUCAGCGAUGGCUUCCUCUUGACAUGGGAGGUGCCACUGAAGUCAGGUAUAUUUCACUCUUCCAACUAAUACAUCACUUUGUCCUAUAGAAGAACCUUGGAACAGCCAGACAUUUAGCACUCCCCUAGAACGAGUCUCAUCAGCGUAAGGCGUAGAGACUCCAGAGUACGGACCUGACAACCCAACCCACUGAUUUGAUAAGGGUGUAGCGAAACGCAUGUCGUCGUCCCCAACGGCGGUAGGCGUGUUCGCCGCCGCCACUCUGCCGUCCGGCGUACGUCCGCCAACACACAAGUCAAUGAGAUAUUAACACCGGAACAAAUAAAUACAGAAAGGAAAACAAAAGAAAGAGAUUAAAAAAAGAGGACCAAUCGGACGGUUGGAGGGACCACGACCCGUUGCAGCCGCCACCGCCACAGCCACCGUUGCAACCGUGAGCAGGUAAGUUCACUUUUUUAAACGAAUAAAAUACGAUUAGUAGGAUGAUGCUUUGGCUUUGACCUAUAAAAAACUAAGGGCCAGUUUGGCAGGGCUCCGGCUCUGGCUCCGUGCGCUUACCGAAGCACGGAGGAGCCGGAGCCGCACCAAACGGCAUUGACCGCGGAGCCAUUUUUUGGCACAUUUGGGAGGAACCGGAGCCGUUUUAGGCCUGCAUGGAGGAGCCCAAAAAAGUGGCUCCGCGGCUCCGGCUCCGGCUCCACACGAGGAGCCCCUCGCGAGGAGCCCUGCCAAACUCGCCCUAAGCCUAGUUCUAGUUCAAGGAUUCCUCUGUUCUCUCAAACAAGAGCCACAUCGAAGGUACUAAAUAGUGUUCGUAACGAUCGUUAUAGAGGUAGCAGUACUCUACCGCAACAAAGUAGCGGACCCAAGAUAGCAUGUAUAGACUUAACAGCCGCUAUUAUCCACUAUUGCUCGCUAUUGCAGCCUCUGUUGCUCAUGUUAGGCCGCUAUUCGCUAUAUUUACAGUUCAAGUGAUAUAUGACCAUGAAUCAAAUCAAAUGGUUAUAAUAAUGUUUAAAAUGGUUAUUUAGGUAAUGACCAAGAGUUAUUGAUGAAAAAUAAUUUUUUUUAUUUAUUGAUAUGGGAAGUUAAUGUUAAUAUAUAUCCAUACAUCUUAAUUAUACCUAUUUAUUUGUGAUUCUUACCAUGAAAUGUAAACUUGAUGUUAAUAUUCAUAUAUGCUUUAAAAUUGUGACUAUUUUGUGAAUUCCGCUAUUUGAACUUAGCGUCCGCUAUAGCAUCCGCUAUCCGCUACAUCAGCACUAAUUUGCUACCAUACUGCUAAAUGCUAUUUAGUACCUUAGCCAUAACAGGCUAGCAGGGAGCUAGAGACCAUGUAGUAUGGACUACGGACCUGGCAACCCAAACCACCAACCAGCAUACUAUCCACGCUGAUGAUUUGAUAAGGGCGUAAGCCGGUUGUCAUCCCCAACCGUGGCCGCUGCCACUUGUUGUCCGGUAAGUCAAUGAGAUGUUAAAACUUAAAUAAACAAAUUCAGAGAGAUGGAGGCAUGAACCACGACCGGUCGCCACCGUCCUUUCUAGUUUCUCCUAUCAUCUCAUAUCCGUAUCCGUCCCGCUAUCUGUUCCGUGCUCACAUUCCUCCGCCAUUGCCACCCCAUAUGCCUCUGCUUCUCCUCCUGCUGCUCGCUUCCUUCCUCCUCCUCCACUGGGCAUCAAAUGAUGAAAAUCAUCUUCAUGUUUAGUCAUAAAUUCUUCUUUUUCCUUUUCUUUUAGGCUUUCUUCUGCCUAUAUAUACUGUCAAGUCUUAUUUGCAGUAACAAAAGUAGUUCAGCUAUAGACUAAAGAGGGCAAAGUUUUCAUGUCAGACUAACUUAAACUGCACAAUUUUACAAUUGAAAUGACAAGCUAUUCACAGUGACUGUUCUUAUGCAGGAGGAAGCAAUAGGAAAAAGAUAGUCAGUAUCAGUGAGUAUCAACUCUCAACCUUCAUGGCUUAUCUAUUAUACUUGAUCUCUUUUCCUGCUCUACUGAAACUUUGUAGCAUCAUAUGUUUUCAGCAUCUAUUUGAUUAAUUAGUUAUUGCAUAUUGCUAACACCUUUACACUGUUAUUGCAUAUUGGGAAAUUUGGAGGAGGAUUUGUUGUCUUUGAUUAUAUGGCUUCUUCAUAUUUUCUUACUUUGCACUUCUUCUUUUGUUUUUUUUGUAUAAAAAAGAGAAAAAUAUGAAUUGUUGACGGUCUUGGAAAUAUGAAUGAUAAUAAUAUAGCAGCUCACUGUUUCAAGAGAAAAAGAGAAAAAUAACAUAUGCUUUAAUUUCAGUUUCGAUGACAGUAGCUGCAAGCUUGCUCCUACCAUGUAUAUAUAUGCUUGUAUGGCAUGGAAAGAGAGGAAAGCUACAUUUUUUCCUAUGUGAAAAGACUAGCAAAAGCACUGAAAGGAACAUUGAGGCCCUAAUAGUUUUGCAUGGAUCCCUAGCUCCAAAAAGAUACAAGUACUCACAAGUAACAAAGAUAACGUCUUCCUUUAGUGAUAAGCUUGGGGAAGGUGGUUAUGGUUCGGUUUUCAAAGGAAGGCUAGAUGAUGGUCAUCAAGUUGCUGUGAAAUUCUUACACGACUCCAAAGGAGAAGGGGAGGAUUUUGUUAACGAGGUUAUGAGCAUUGGCAGGACCUCUCAUGUUAAUAUUGUUAGCUUAUUUGGGUUUUGUUUGGAAGGCUCAAAGCGGGCCCUAAUAUAUGAGUACAUGCCCAAUGGUUCUUUGGAUAAGUUCAUAUACUCAGAGAGUCCUAAAGCAGUUUUAGGAUGGGAUAAGCUCUACACAAUAGCGAUUGGAAUUGCUCGAGGAUUGGAAUACUUGCAUCAUAGUUGUAAUACACGCAUUGUCCAUUUUGAUAUCAAGCCUCAAAAUAUCCUUCUAGAUGAGGAUUUUCACCCAAAGGUUGCUGAUUUUGGUUUAGCCAAAUUGUGUCAUACCAAGGAGAGCAAGCUUUCUAUGACUGGUGCUAGAGGAACAGUUGGUUUUAUUGCUCCUGAAGUUCACUCUCGAACCUUUGGAGUUGUUUCAACAAAAUCAGAUGUUUAUAGUUAUGGAAUGAUGUUAUUAGAGAUGGUUGGAGGCAGAAAAAAUGUGAAAUCAGUUGCUCAGAAAUCAAGUGAAAAGUAUUUUCCACAUUGGAUUUAUGAUCGUGUUAGAC